rnacentral:rRNA from 1 species
AGUGAACGCUGGCGGUAGGCCUAACACAUGCAAGUCGAGCGGCAGCACAGUAAGAGCUUGCUCUUACGGGUGGCGAGUGGCGGACGGGUGAGGAAUACAUCGGAAUCUACUUUUUCGUGGGGGAUAACGUAGGGAAACUUACGCUAAUACCGCAUACGACCUACGGGUGAAAGCAGGGGAUCUUCGGACCUUGCGCGAUUGAAUGAGCCGAUGUCGGAUUAGCUAGUUGGCGGGGUAAAGGCCCACCAAGGCGACGAUCCGUAGCUGGUCUGAGAGGAUGAUCACCACAAGGGAAAUUGAACCACGGUCCGAACCCCGAGGGGGGGCACAGAGGGGGAAUAUGGGCAAAGGGGGGAAACCCUGAACCAGCCUAACCAGGAGGGUAAAGAAGCCCUUCGGGUUGUAAAGCCUUUUUGUUGGGAAAGAAAAGAGGCAGGUUAAUACCCCGCUUUUCGAGCGGUACCAAAAAAAAAAGCACCGGCUAACUUGGU